GACGAACGCUGGCGGCGUGCUUAACACAUGCAAGUCGAACGGAAAGGCCCUGCUUUUGUGGGGUGCUCGAGUGGCGAACGGGUGAGUAACACGUGAGUAACCUGCCCUUGACUUUGGGAUAACUUCAGGAAACUGGGGCUAAUACCGGAUAGGAGCUCCUGCUGCAUGGUGGGGGUUGGAAAGUUUCGGCGGUUGGGGCUGGACUCGCGGCUUAUCAGCUUGUUGGUGGGGUAGUGGCUUACCAAGGCUUUGACGGGUAGCCGGCCUGAGAGGGUGACCGGCCACCAUGGGACUGCGAGACGGCCCAGACUCCUACGGGAGGCAGCAGUGGGGAAUAUUGCACAAUGGGCGGAAGCCUGAUGCAGCAACGCCGCGUGCGGGAUGACGGCCUUCGGGUUGUAAACCGCUUUCGCCUGUGACGAAGCGUGAGUGACGGUAAUGGGUAAAGAAGCACCGGCUAACUACGUG
rnacentral:rRNA from 1 species